UUCACGAGUCUAACCUAGUGGUCAUGGUCACGGACUCGUGGUCGGUAUGUCAUGAGUUCGAGCCUUGUGCCGCUGAAA